GACAUUGCCGUCAUUGUUAUGGGAAAGUACAAUUGCUUUAGCAUAUUUGCAUGCUUGGCGGUUAGAGUCCGGGCCUUGAUUAAUUUUUGCAGCCAGGACGAGCGGCUUAUUCAAGACCGACCCACCGCACUCAUAAAGUAAUCAGGUCCGCCAACUGCCGGGGAUUUGUCACCCCCAUUAAAGAGCGUUUGAUGUAUUAUUCGGUUCAUUUGGCCGACAGGUCUGCGCAAACAGAACGCUGCCAGUUGAGCAGCCGCCACCGCUGGCAAUAACAAGAAGAACGCCGAAAUCAAGAGCGGACUGCCGGUGACAGGGACUAAGUCGCAGUGUAAAUAGGACUAUUCGAACAAACAGGAUCAGAUCAGAAGCGACCGACCGUUGGCCGGCUUAGUAAAGCUCGCACGUCCAUUUGUGGUAGCUCAGUAACUCUGUCAAACUAUACUUAAGAUGCGUAAAUAUGAGGACUACAUAUGGAUAUUGUUAAGCUUAAGACAUUCUCUUUUUAAAGCCUUCCCGCUUUACAACUUUGAGGUUAAGCGAAUUAUGCAUUUACCGGCGGUUGAUUUUACAGAGUAUUUAUGGUCAAAUUUAGCAUGUAUGAUUGAAUUGUCUGCCGCCUGAUCCAUGAAGUUACAUUUCAAGUAAUAACAUUAUUUCGGCCUACCAAGCAGCGAAAUUAACAAAUUCAUCCCCUUUUUCUAUGAGCAAGACGGAAGUUUGAAGUUUGAAGAAUAUACCCUUA